AACGAACGCUGGCGGCGUGCCUAACACAUGCAAGUCGAGCGAGAAAGCCCGCAAGGGUGAGUAAAGCGGCGCACGGGUGCGUAACACGUGGGUAAUCUGCCCUAGAGUCCGGAAUAACUCGCCGAAAGGCGUGCUAAUGCCGGAUGAGACCACGGGAGCCUCGGCUCCCGCGGGAAAAGGUGGCCUCUGUAUACAAGCUAUCGCUCUAGGAUGAGCCCGCGGCCCAUCAGCUCGUUGGCGGGGUAAUGGCCCACCAAGGCUACGACGGGUAGCUGGUCUGAGAGGACGAUCAGCCACACUGGAACUGAGACACGGUCCAGACUCCUACGGGAGGCAGCAGUGGGGAAUCUUGCGCAAUGGGCGAAAGCCUGACGCAGCAACGCCGCGUGUGUGAUGAAGGUCUUCGGAUCGUAAAGCACUGUCGCGAGGGACGAAUAAGGGGCGGGCUAACAUCCCGUUCCGAUGACGGUACCUCGAGAGGAAGCACCGGCUAACUCUGUGCCAGCAGCCGCGGUAAUACAGAGGGUGCGAGCGUUGUUCGGAAUUAUUGGGCGUAAAGCGCGUGUAGGCGGCCUUGCAAGUUGGGUGUGAAAGCCCUCGGCUUAACCGAGGAAGUGCGCCCAAAACUACGAGGCUUGAGUGCCGGAGAGGGUGGCGGAAUUCCCGGUGUAGAGGUGAAAUUCGUAGAUAUCGGGAGGAACACCAGUGGCGAAGGCGGCCACCUGGACGGUAACUGACGCUGAGACGCGAAAGCGUGGGGAGCAAACAGGAUUAGAUACCCUGGUAGUCCACGCUGUAAACGAUGAGCGCUAGGUGUUGUGGGUGUUGACCCCCGCAGUGCCGCAGCUAACGCAUUAAGCGCUCCGCCUGGGAAGUACGGCCGCAAGGCUA
rnacentral:rRNA from 1 species